AACGAACGCUGGCGGCAUGCCUAACACAUGCAAGUCGAACGAGACCUUCGGGCCUAGUGGCGCACGGGUGCGUAACGCGUGGGAACCUGCCCUUAGGUUCGGAAUAACUCCCCGAAAGGGGUGCUAAUACCGGAUAAUGUCUUCGGACCAAAGAUUUAUCGCCUUUGGAUGGGCCUGCGUUGGAUUAGCUAGUUGGUAGGGUAAAAGCCUACCAAGGCGACGAUCCAUAGCUGGUCUGAGAGGAUGAUCAGCCACACUGGGACUGAGACACGGCCCAGACUCCUACGGGAGGCAGCAGUGGGGAAUAUUGGACAAUGGGCGAAAGCCUGAUCCAGCAAUGCCGCGUGAGUGAUGAAGGCCUUAGGGUUGUAAAGCUCUUUUACCCGGGAUGAUAAUGACAGUACCGGGAGAAUAAGCUCCGGCUAACUCCGUG
rnacentral:rRNA from 1 species